CCUACGGGAGGCUGCAGUGAGGAAUAUUGGUCAAUGGACGAGAGUCUGAACCAGCCAAGUAGCGUGAAGGAUGACUGCCCUAUGGGUUGUAAACUUCUUUUAUAAAGGAAUAAAACGAGGCACGUGUGCCUUGUUGCAUGUACUUUAUGAAUAAGGAUCGGCUAACUCCGUGCCAGCAGCCGCGGUAAUACGGAGGAUCCGAGCGUUAUCCGGAUUUAUUGGGUUUAAAGGGAGCGUAGAUGGGUUGUUAAGUCAGUUGUGAAAGUUUGCGGCUCAACCGUAAAAUUGCAAUUGAUACUGGCAGUCUUGAGUACAGUUGAGGUAAGCGGAAUUCGUGGUGUAGCGGUGAAAUGCUUAGAUAUCACGAAGAACCCCGAUUGCGAAGGCAGCUUACUAAACUGUGACUGACAUUGAUGCUCGAAAGUGUGGGUAUCAAACAGGAUUAGAUACCCCGGUAGUC
rnacentral:rRNA from 1 species